UAAAAUUUAAAUUUAUAAUACUAAAAUAGUAGAUAAUUAUUUAUUGAAACUUAAAUAAUUUGGCGGUAUUUUAGUUCAUUUAGAGGAAUCUGUUUAAUAAUUGAUAUUCCACGAAUAAAUUUACUUAAUUUAUUAUUUUGUAUAUCGUUGUUAUAAAAAUAUUUUUUAAUAAAAUUAAUAUUUAAAAAUUAUUAUUUAAAUUUAAAUCAGAUCAAGAUGCAGAUUAUAAUUAAGAAUAUAAUGGAUUACAAUAAAAUUAUUUAAAUGGAUAUUAAUUUGUAAAAAUUAAUUGAAGGUGGAUUUAAAUGUAAUUUUAUUUAUUUUAAUAAAAUGAUUAAAAAUUAAAAUAUGU
rnacentral:rRNA from 1 species